UACGGAGGGGGUUAGCGUUGUUCGGAAUUACUGGGCGUAAAGCGCGCGUAGGCGGACCUGCAAGUCGGGGGUGAAAGCCCGAGGCUCAACCUCGGAACUGCCUUCGAUACUGCGGGUCUCGAGUCCGGGAGAGGUGAGUGGAAUUCCUAGUGUAGAGGUGAAAUUCGUAGAUAUUAGGAAGAACACCGGUGGCGAAGGCGGCUCUCUGGACCGAGACUGACGCUGAGGCGCGAAAGCGUGGGGAGCAAACAGG
rnacentral:rRNA from 1 species